AGGACUCCAAAACAUUCCUUGGCCCCCAUCCAGCCCAUCCUGCAGGGAAUUGCUGUCCUGAUUCCAUCACCACAGUUGGCUUUGGCAGUUCUCAGUUUCUUCCACACGGCACCCCCACGUGGAGCCUUCUGCCACCUGCCCUCUGUUCCUGGGCACCGUCAUAGAUGGACCAGCCACAGUCUGCCAGUCGCUCUCCUGCUGAUGGACGUCCGGCUGCUCCCAGUCCACUCACCAACCGAAGCGGCUGUGAACAUCCAUGUGCGUCUUUCCGAACUUGUGCGUGAGUUCUGUGUUUCACUGACCUUGGCAAACACACAGGAGCUUGGCUGGGGUGGGCAAGUGUGCACUUGGCUUUGAGAAACAGAGGGGACAUUCUAAAGCAGCUGCACCCCACAGCCUGCAAGAGGGCUACAGUCACCCCACGUCCUUGCAGACUGCCACGCUGGUGCUGCCAGUCCAGCUUCAGUCUUUUGGGGGUGCGAGGGGGCGUCUCUCACAGUUUAACUCAUGUCCCUUAGGCGACAUCGCACCCUCACUCAAGAUGUGGUUCCCAGCUUCCGGGGCCUGAGGCAUCACCACCUGGAACUGCGAGAAGGAGAAGGACAUGGUCUGCAACCUGUGUGGGGAGCGCUGCUGUCUAGAAGCUGUCUGUGCAGAAAGUGCUGCCGGACCAGCCAGCGCGGAGGGUGGGAGGACACCUGUGCUUGCUCAUCUCACCAACCCGGAGGUCUCCCUCGGGCAGGGGUCAGGGAACCGCACCGGCCAACCGACGUUGGAUGGAAUGGAAACAAUCCCUCCACGUGCUUCCUUAAUCGUAGCGUAAAAAAUGCAUUGAAAAGACCAAAUGACAGUUGUCUGAAACAUGAAUGUGUUUAACUUUUCCAUAACGAGCAAAGAUGACCGGAUUGGGUUUGGAAACGUGAACACUGCUGUCUGCAAACAUGCAUGGAAGACAACAUAUCUCAAAAGGUUAACAGUGAAACAUAACAAGGAGAAACAAAAUCCAAAAAGGGAAGUGAGGACCCCAGCACUGGUGCUGUCCGGGAAAGGUUCACAGCAAAGCCACAGCUAGGGUCAUUUUUCAUCGACGUGGAUGAGAGCAGACCACAGCAUUGGGCCAUCUUAGCUGCAGUGGCAGAAGGAAAAACAAAAGCGGCCUCAGACCUCCAUCCACCCCCAACCCCCGGUGACGGAUGGUGGUUAGGAUGGCACUCAGCUAUAGGGGUCCCGAGGCAGGCGAAUAGGUCCUGUAUGUCCCCAGCUCAGGCUGUUGGAUCUAGGGUAGCUUUUGAGGUGGGCAGGUGGGGCUGGCCUCACAGGGGAGCUGGUGAGGGCUGGAAGGGGGCUGGGGAGACACCUGGGA
rnacentral:lncRNA from 1 species